GUGCCAGCCGCCGCGGUAAGACGAACCGAGCGAACGUUGUUCGGAAUCACUGGGCUUAAAGGGCGCGUAGGCGGGCUGCCGCGUCCGGGGUGAAAUCCCACGGCUCAACCGUGGAACGGCCCCGGGUACGGGCGGCCUCGAGGGGGGUAGGGGCGUGCGGAACUGUGGGUGGAGCGGUGAAAUGCGUUGAUAUCCACAGGAACUCCGGUGGCGAAGGCGGCACGCUGGACCCUCUCUGACGCUGAGGCGCGAAAGCCAGGGGAGCGAACGGGAUUAGAAACCCUUGUAGUCC
rnacentral:rRNA from 1 species